rnacentral:rRNA from 1 species
UUGGAGGGCAAGUCUGGUGCCAGCAGCCGCGGUAAUUCCAGCUCCAAUAGCGUAUAUUAAAGUUGUUGCAGUUAAAAAGCUCGUAGUUGAAUUUCGGGAUCAAUGUUUCGGUCAUGCCGUUGGUAUGUACUGAUAUUAUUGGUUUCUCACCUUCUAAAGAACCGUAAUGCCAUUAAUUUGGUGUCACGGGGAAUUAGGACUGUUACCUUGAAAAAAUUAGAGUGUUUAAAGCAGGCUCACGCUUGAAUACAUUAGCAUGGAAUAAUGAAAUAGGACAUCCGAUUCUAUUUUGUUGGUUUCUAGGAUCGAUGUAAUGACUAAUAGGGAUAGUUGGGGGCAUUAGUAUUCAAUUGUCAGAGGUGAAAUUCUUGGAUUUAUUGAAGACUAACUACUGCGAAAGCAUUUGCCAAGGAUGUUUUCAUUAAUCAAGAACGAAAGUUAGGGGAUCGAAGACGAUCAGAUACCGUCGUAGUCUUAACCAUAAACUAUGCCGACUAGGGAUCGGAUGAUGUUAAUUUUUUAAUGACUCAUUCGGCGCCUUACGGGAAACCAAAGUGUUUGGGUUC